AUCUAGUGGCAGACGGGUGAGUAACACGUGGGUAACCUACCCUGAAGACUGGGAUAACAGUUAGAAAUGACUGCUAAUACCGGAUGAUUCAUGAGAAGAUAACUUUUCAUGCUAAAAGGAGCGUUUGCUUCACUUCAGGAUGGGCUUGCGGUGUAUUAGCUAGUUGGUGGGGUAAUGGCUCACCAAGGCAACGAUGCAUAUCCGAGCUGAGAGGCUGAUCGGACACACUGGGACUGAGACACGGCCCAGACUCC
rnacentral:rRNA from 1 species